AACCCACAAAAGCAGACGAUCGACGCAGAAAAGACGCAAAGAAGCGCGGUUGCCACGCGUUGCAGUCUUUCCUGCGCUAUUACACGGUUCUACACCCGGAAAUGGUCAAAGAAAAGAUGCUUGCAAAAGUACCAGAAAUGUCCUCAUCAGCAGACGUGGCUGAAGACAACCCUGCACUUUUUAAAAGAAACAGAGAGCAAAAAAGAUUAACCUAAUCAAGAUAUGUGACAAGGACACGUCACUGCGUCGGCUACAGCACGUCCCUCACAGCCAGUAUUCCUGUCGCCAUCAGCCGCAGCUCAGUGGCUUUUCUCACCUGUAGGUAUACGUGGUAACUGUCGUCUGCAACAGGAUACGGCUGCUCUUGGGUCAGCUUAGCACCGUUAUCCGCUACAAAGCUUGCCGCCAACCCAGAAGGUGCACCUGACAAUUGCUUAUACUGAGACAUAUUUGAUGCUGGAAUUAAACGAGAGACUGUUUACUCAAAGGAGCUCUGACGUCAUUAUCCCCAGCAUCGUCAGUGUUGCACACGUCAGCCCCGGAGAAAUGACGUCACAUGUCGUGUCAGAGUUUGUGAGGACCCGACAGCCUUGACACUCCGCCAUUUCACAGCACCAGCCAGAUCAUGAAACCUGGUCAGUCUGUCCUGUCUAGCAGCGAGCCCUUCACCUGAACACCUGAGUGACGUGUAAGUAUUUGGGGAGGAAGGUGUUAUAGGCCGCUCUUUGAGAUCAGCAGAGUCCCUCGCUGCCUUACAUUCGCCAGGCCUCUAGCUCUAGGGAGUACAACACCCGUUUAAAAGCAGGGUCAAAGGUUGUCAAAACAGCCAGUGUCAACCGCAUCCAAAUUCUGGUGUUUUGACUACUAAGCUACCCGGUUACACCCUGGUGUCCUUUAACAAUUAGCUGAAUUCUGUAUACUCUCGUGUUGUAUGUACCACUCCAUGGCCCAUCAGUGUGAUUGACGUUUCAACCUGACGACUUCCAGCUUUCUUAUCAUGGCCACCAAGUGGGUUUAUCGUGUGUCGUCAGAGCAUUUCUCGCUUUUGGUGACUUGUUCUCUCGAAUUCCGCCACCUCAUAGCUUUGAGUCUGCAGCUUUAAUCGCUUUGACAUUUUGACUAAACUAACUCGUCGCGCUUUUGGCGCCGUCUGGGCACAAACACCGCCGAGCACAUGGAAUGCAAAUGGUUGAUCGAAAUGGAUGAAUGUCACGACACCAAAGUCAGAUAAACCACUGCCUACAUGCUCUUGUUUACUUUUGCAGUCUCGGUGGGGGGAUGUUGGGAUGGGGGUUGGAUUGGAGAAAGAUAGUUUCGUAACUCUGUGUGUGUGUGAUUCCUCUGUUGCGUGCACCUGUUCACGAGCGUUCUACAUUCUAAACAUUACCUUGCGCACGCGGGAAUGAACCGCUUUUGUCAAAAUAAAAUGUGGUUCUCAAUGCUUGGCUCCCGAUAAUGUGACGCAAAACUCCACAAAACCGUACACCUAUGUCAUCGGCAAGACCAGACGUGACUAUAUGUAAGUCUGUAUGUCUGUCUGUCAAAAUAGGAUAUCUCCCUCCCUUUCCCUCUUGUUGCUUUUUCUUCGCCAAGAAGCCUGCACUGGGACUUUUCCCACCAAACUGUAGACAUUACCAUCAUUUCUAGAAUGUUUCAUUGAAACUACACCAGCCUCCAACAUUCUUUCUCCAUAUCCUUGCCUGACCUCUCCCAAUCCAAGAAAAUUCUCCUCCAGCUUGAGUUAAUACGGUCCACCUUCUCUCCCUCCAUCAGCCGUUUUCCGGUCUCGUAACGACCCCAUGCCUAUCCAAGAUUGUAUAGGUCUUUCAAGCCAGAAUAAAUAUAGGGCUAUGACAGAUUUGCUUAACGCUCUUCAUCCAGUUUUGACGUGUACAGCGCAAACACGUACAGCAAUUGUAGCCCUAUGCUUCACGUCGUGCAGAGUGUUGUCGGCUGUGGAGAAAAGCAAGUGUGGCAUGUUUUCCUGAAGAGUGCCACUAGUUGGUGACGUGUGUGCCCUCCUCGUGACGUACAGGUCAUUCAUCGUGGUGUUGACUCCAGUCGUUGACUAGCUGCCGAGGACGCACUGUGGACAGUCUCCCUCCUUCUCCCAAGACUUCGAUUCCCAUCUUCGAAGGACUGUGUAGCAAAAGCUGUCUCCCAAACAAGUCAUUGGCCAGUUUGGAAGCGCCCUUGUCUUUCGCUGAACUGGUUUUUGGUUUGCAUUCUGCAAGAAAGUAUUGCAAAUAGCAACAGGAAGUUUACGUAGAGCUUAUUAUUUAUUUAUCUUCAAUCAGUGUUCUUGCCAUAGUGAUAAACAAAACUGUAGUGGCAUACUAAUUGAAUGGUUUUGAUAUAUCUUCUGGGGUGACUUUUUUUAAAACAAAUUAAAGCGGUGCGUAGAGUUUACCCACGUCGGUCAUUUUCAACAAAUUCAAAAGCAGCAAAACUGAGAAACGGGUAAUUAAGAACACUAGGCGUUUGGCCAGCACCUGUUGUGACAUCGUCUGCAACACGAAUUCUUUCCAGUGAAGAUCUCUCUGGAGACGAGUUCUCUAAUUCGUCAGCGACAUCUUUGCCUUUCUUGUUUGUCGUCACAAUUUGUAUGUUGUCCGACUCACUUGCCCUGUCUUGCAGCUUUAAUUAGUACAGCUUUACAAAUGUUAAGGGUCUAAUUUUGGGAGGUUUUUGUAACAGCCCAGAUCUCGCCAGUUAACUGGCAGCUGGAAACAUCGUGAAAUGAGGUAACCAAAAAAAAAAAAAAAAACCGCGUGUGAAAUGCGAGUGUCUCUUUGCGAGAACCUUUAAUUUCCACCCCAAGUCUUGACGGCGCCUGCAGGUCGCUGAGGGUGGUCGUGUACGGGUACAGUUGGCAGUUUGCUGACCGAAGAAAUAUAUGACACUUUCUCUUCAAACUCGCCCUCCUCGUAAUGUAUAAGAAGGCAAUCGCACGGAGGGUAAUGUAAAGCAAUCGCACUGUGUGUAAAGCAAUCGCGAGACCCAUAAGGGUCUGGGGUGGGCGAGAGGGGUACGGUGGUUGUCAAACACGAGUCUAUGAGAUUUUAACGUAAGGAACCUUUCUCUCACAUCGAUGGUGAAAACAUGGGACAACUGCCAGAAACAUCAGAGUUUACGAAAAAUAUAACACUAAUGCCAUUGUGUGUGUGUGCCUGUGUUUGGAUAUUGUUUUGUAAGCAUUUGUCCGCAUGUGAAUUUAUUUUUUCGUUCCCCGCCCCCCUUCUUUCCUUUGUUUGGUUUUUUUUUCUCUUUAUUUAUAUGUAUAUUUUUUUUCUUUAUCUUUUUUCUUUCUCGGUUUUAUUCUCCUAGUGUUGAUUCAUCGAUUAUUGUCCUGUUUCAUCAGUCGUUUGUGUGUUAUAAACAUGGUUAUUCAUUGUCUCUUUCUCUGAAAUCUUUUAUCUGUACGUGAGCGCAACGCCGAGAUGACUAAGCUCAGACAGCAGCCACACGGAUUGCUGUAAAUCAAAACAAAUAUAAUACAAUCAUUACAGACUGACCAGUCUGUAAAUCCGAGACUUACUCGAUAGAGAUACCGUUUGAAUGCUGAUAGAGUGGAAGGAUGGAUGGGUGGAUAAACACAAAGACAGAAUGCCCUAGAUUGAUAAUGAUCUGAGGUGGGAGGAGUGGAUCUAAGGAGGCCAAGCCACAGGAGGAAAAACUUGAUGCGAUAAGACAAACUUCUCUGUGCGAUUAACUGCCUCCUUUGCACACACUAAAUUUUCCCUCGAGGAUUAGAGGUAUGUGCAGCUUUCUUCUGCCGUGUGAAAUAUUUCUGUUUUAGCGUCCCUCAACUGCUAAAUAAUGAUGUAGUGCAGACUAUCUUAUCUCUUCAUCUAUCACCUUUAUUGCGCCCCUUGAUAUAUUACUCCACAAUUUCCAUUACCUGUUAGGCAAUGGCAGCACUAGAAAAAUAAGGAUAAAUUAAGGUUUAACAAAAAGAGCUUUCGAGUCUCCCAAGUGUUGUAAGUGGCCACUGAAAGCGACACUAAACAUGACCCAUAGUCAGGCCCUUAGCAACGUUAAGCCGCGAAGUCUAUCAAUAUAAACGGUGAUUCAUGCCCCAAAUCUUCUGAUAGGCACAAAUCGAAGUCGUCUGCUAGGAUCGAUCACUCUGCUUAAUCCUGCCCCCUCCCCCAUACUUUAACUGUUAGCCCAUGCAGAGUUACUGCGCCCACUUGGACUUUAACCCUGCAACGCCGCGGCCUUCAGGAAAGACAUUAAUUUCCCUUGUCACCAGCUCCGGGGAGCCCCGGGGAGCUACUCUUGCAUCCCUGCAAAGGACAGCAGCAUCGUGGGCAAUGUUUCAACUACCAUGUUUUGUCAUCAUUGUCACCUGUCUCAUCGCCGUUGCAGACGACACACGUUCCGCGUUGACCCUGUGCGGGUUCUCGCGAGAGGUCGAGGAAAAGGAGCCAUUCCGGCUCCCAACCUGCGUCUUGGAGAAGUGUCACGUGGUUUGUUUUUGUUAAUUGAAGGGGCAUUGUGUCACGAACGGGCAGGGGGACUAGUCGCAUGGAAUGAAGAUGGCGUCCCCGCGAGAUAUCGCGCUGUUUAACACGUCGGCAGCCACCAUCGACAGUUGCUAGUGCGCGCGCUGGCAGCCUAAUCCCUGCAGAGAAAGUUGCAGACAGGCGGCGAGCAAAUUGUUGCGAUAUUACUGUCAAAUUUAUCGCCUGCCAGGCCGGGACCGGACAGCCCAUACCUACAGACGCUGUUGAUCCCUCCACUGAAGGGGCGCUAUGGAGAUGGGCUUCCUGCGACCUACAAGCCGCCAUCUUCGCUCUUACAAGUCGAUUUGGAAAGCGCAUGUUGCUUGCCGAUAGUGGCGCCACUGGUCCAGACAAUGAGUGCUUUUGAUAACGGUAUUUUACACGGAUUAUGCCCUUUGGAUGCCCAUUGGCAGAUCCGGACGCAUAAAUCGCGUUAGCGGGGAAGGGAUGGGGAUGGGAGGUGGGGUGGGAAGGGGAGGGUCAACGCAAAGGGUGAUACUGUUAACGGCGAGGGGUCGGGUGCUGGUCGCACGCUCUCACUCGUCUCGUGCACUUGAUACCCGGAUACGUCACAGUCUGACCAAAGUCGUCAGCCCACCGCCACAGCCUCCACCUCGGACGUGGACCAUUCUGGAAGCUCUGUAUCGACGUCUAGCGAGAUGUUGGGUUUAUCUCCGCCUACCGUCAACCAUCCUGCUACGCAGAAGCCCACGUGGCCAGAUGAGAUGAAUGCUGGGCAGGGAGGGACGCUGCGCAUCAUCUGCCUCGAUUUUACCGUUACAAGUAGUUAAGGUGAUUUCCUCACCCGCAAGUGUCUUUUGAUCAGCUGUGAGCACCGGUCAUAAUUUCUGUUGUUUGAGAGAGUUUUCUUGUGGUUUGUCCGCGAAUCUCAAUUGGUGAUUGUUCAUUUCGUGUUUUAUGUAAGGAAGGCUGCUUCUUUAUUCUCGUUUUCUCAUAUAAUUUUAAAACUCGCACAAAAUACUUAGAAAUUUCGGCAACAUCAAUAAUAUUCUAUCCACAAUACAUCAUGCUCACCGGUAAAGCAGA
rnacentral:lncRNA from 1 species